rnacentral:rRNA from 1 species
UAGGUCCUACGGGAGGCAGCAGUGAGGAAUAUUGGUCAAUGGUCGGGAGACUGAACCAGCCAAGCCGCGUGAGGGAGGAAGGUACAGAGUAUCGUAAACCUCUUUUGUCAGGGAACAAAGACUGGGACGCGUCCCCGGAUGGGUGUACCUGAAGAAAAAGCAUCGGCUAACUCCGUGCCAGCAGCCGCGGUAAUACGGAGGAUGCGAGCGUUAUCCGGAUUUAUUGGGUUUAAAGGGUGCGCAGGCGGUCUGUUAAGUCAGCGGUCAAAGCCCGGGGCUCAACCCCGGCCCGCCGUUGAAACUGG